rnacentral:rRNA from 1 species
CUCGUAGGUUGUUUAUUAAGUUAGAUGUGAAAAACACGGGCUCAACCUGUGCCGUGCAUAUAAGACUGGUGGACUAGAGUUUGGGAGAGGGAAGUGGAAUUUCCGGUGUAGCGGUGAAAUGCGUAGAUAUCGGAAGGAACACCAGAUGCGAGGGCGACUUUCUGGCCCAAGACUGACACUGAGGAGCGAAAACGUGGGUAUCGAACA